rnacentral:rRNA from 1 species
GACAGAGGGUGCAAACGUUGCUCGGAAUCACUGGGCGUAAAGGGCGUGUAGGCGGGAAGGUAAGUCGGGCGUGAAAUCCCUGAGCUCAACUCAGGAACUGCACUCGAAACUACUUUUCUUGAGUGCCGGAGAGGAAAGCGGAAUUCCUGGUGUAGAGGUGAAAUUCGUAGAUAUCAGGAGGAACACCAGUGGCGAAGGCGGCUUUCUGGACAGUUCCUGACACUGAGACACGAAGGCCAGGGGAGCAAACGGG